rnacentral:snRNA from 1 species
UAAUGUUACAGCCCUUUUAGAAUUUGUCCAGCAGGCUUUCCAGUUUUCACCACAAAACCCUU